GCCCUGUGGUUACUGGAGCCUGUGAUCUCUGUACAGAGCUGCAGUUUUAAUAAAAGGGCAGAUAUUAAUGCUGUGAUAUUUUGCAUGGUGGUUGAGUUUUCACAUCUGCCCCCAUAGCCCGGUCACAGUAACAGAU